UNGCAGGUGAAUCCCAGUGCCCCAGCC
rnacentral:piRNA from 1 species